rnacentral:lncRNA from 1 species
GUCUGCUCUCCGAAACUCUGUUCUCAGUAAAAGCACCAUCAGGUCGAGAAAACAUGUACGUCAAUCAGUUCCUCUUUGCUUAAAUGAAUUCCGCAUGAAUUUGUCAUUUGCAACCAAGAGUUCUGACAAAUACAUUGCACAAGAAAAGAGAAAUCAUGAAUCAUGAAAAAUGGAUCUUAAUUCCUUUAAGAUGAUGGAGCCAGCAGCAAAUCACAUCUCUGUGCUGGGAACAGAGACAUCUAGAGAACAACUUCUUCGUGAGAAGAAAGAGAAGAGCUCUGGGAAUCAAGAAAGAACCAGUAGGAAAGCUAAAAAUCACAGAGAACAGAAGACAACCAGAGAAAGGAAUGAAGCAGUGUGGAAAGCUAACUCUGACUCCAGGGUAGAGGGGAUCUCACCCCCAAACACAAGAACCUAUGGAUGCCAAAUGGGACACAGAGUGAACAGCCUCUUCCAGGGAUACCUGAGAAAGCAGAAGACUGACCUUAGCAGUUGUUGUAUUACCUCCUCACAGAGGGGUCUGGACAAAGCCGUUGUCAAAGGAUCUCACUAUGUAGACCAGGAUGGCUUGAACUCACUAUGUAGCCCAGUUGGCCUCGAAUUCAUGGCGAUCCUCCUGCCUCAGCAUCCCAAGUACUGGGAUUACAGGUUUAUCCUGGAGGACUUUUUCCUAGAUUCCUGUAACUAAAAAUUAGCUACAACAAUGUUUCUGAAAGAGGUUUUGGAUAAGCCAUCUAAAGCCUUAUAUACUUGAUACUAUUUUUAUUUACUUGUAUUUAAAUGAUAGUUGGGCUAUAUAUAAAAUUCUAGGUUGAAAGUCCUUUUCCAUCAAUGUUUUAAAAUAUUGCUUCACUGUCUCCUUGUAUCCUAUUUUGUGAUCAAGGUUUUCUGUCAGUCUGUUUUUCCCUUUUGAUCAACUUCUACAUAAAUGUUUUGAAAAUGUUU